GUCGUUUCGAUGUAUAAAGUAUGAUCAUCGAAUUUUUGUUAUGUUUUACCGGCCCCCUUCAACAAAAACAGCACCCAUAUGCAGUGGUUGAUUUUAUCGUAAUUCUGCGGAAUUCUGAACUAUAAGUAUUACGAGUAUAUUAUAUUUCAAAGGUAUUAUUCCAAAUAGAUACCUGUUCUCAGAUGACAUUUUAUUAAAAUUAUAUUGGUGUCUUGAGGGUUCAAACACUCUUCCCCCCCAAAAAAAAAAAAAUUAUCACUACCCAUAUGAAUCCUCGACUGAUAUGAGUUUUUGUUUUCGAAAAAAAUAAUGAGCUUGAUUUACAAAUUCAUAUAAAUACCAGAAAAAUGGGCCUUCGCGAAAAACUGUAAAUUAUCAUUACUUACAUCGGUUCUUCUUUAGUUUUUUCUCAUUUAAAUCGGUUUUUAAAAGAUACAGAAACAGGCAAUAUAUCUAAAUGGGUAGGUACCGUAUGAGUUUACGAGAAAAACUUAAAAGCCGCAAAGACUUCUCAAAUUUGACGGCCAGACGACUCACUGCACAAUAACUGUGUAGCCUAUAAAUUACACUCAGUAAAUACUAAACCACCCUCAGUAAUCAAAGUAGUCAGAGUCGAUACCUAUAAGCAUUGAUAUCUAUUACUAUUUUUUACACUAUAAUGUUUGUAAAAAUAUGUCUAAGUUCGUGAAAAAUUCAAGUUCGUUUUUUUAUGUGAAAAAAAUUAACAUUCGCAAAAAUUCCAAUCUCCGUAAAAAAAA